UAGGGAAUCUUCGGCAAUGGACGAAAGUCUGACCGAGCAACGCCGCGUGAGUGAAGAAGGUUUUCGGAUCGUAAAACUCUGUUGGUAGAGAAGAACGUUGGUGAGAGUGGAAAGCUCAUCAAGUGACGGUAACUACCCAGAAAGGGACGGCUAACUACGUGCCC
rnacentral:rRNA from 1 species